rnacentral:rRNA from 1 species
GACCUGCACGAAGCCGGAGUUGCUAGUAAUCGCGAAUCAGAAUGUCGCGGUGAAUGCGUUCCCGGGUCUUGUACACACCGCCCGUCACACCAUGGAAGUUGGGGGUGCCCAAAGCCGGCAAGCAAAUAUGCUGUCUAAGGCAAAACCAAUGACUGGGGUGAAGUCGUAACAAGGUAGC